UACGUAGGGGGCAAGCGUUGUCCGGAUUUACUGGGCGUAAAGCGCGCGUAGGUGGAACGUUAAGUCCGGUCUGAAAGCCCCCGGCUCAACCGGGGAGGGUGGCUGGAAACUGGCGUUCUUGAGGGCGAGAGAGGAGGGUGGAAUUCCUGGUGUAGCGGUGAAAUGCGUAGAGAUCAGGAGGAACACCCGUGGCGAAGGCGGCCCUCUGGCUCGACCCUGACGCUGAGGCGCGAAAGCUAGGGGAGCGAACGGG
rnacentral:rRNA from 1 species